rnacentral:rRNA from 1 species
CCAGACUCCUACGGGAGGCAGCAGUGGGGGAUAUUGCACAAUGGGCGAAAGCCUGAUGCAGCGACGCCGCGUGAGGGAAGACGGUUUUCGGAUUGUAAACCUCUGUCGAGGGGGACGAAGGAAGUGACGGUACCCCUUGAGGAAGCCACGGCUAACUACGUGCCAGCAGCCGCGGUAAUACGUAGGUGGCAAGCGUUGUCCGGAAUUACUGGGUGUAAAGGGAGCGUAGGCGGGAAGCCAAGUCAGCUGUGAAAACUACGGGCUUAACCUGUAGACUGCAGUUGAAACUGGCUUUCUUGAGUGAAGUAGAGGUUGGCGGAAUUCCGAGUGUAGCGGUGAAAUGCGUAGAUAUUCGGAGGAACACCGGUGGCGAAGGCGGCCAACUGGGCUUUAACUGACGCUGAGGCUCGAAAGUGUGGGGAGCAAACAGGAUUAGAUACCCGAGUAUG